GAUGAACGCUGGCGGCGUGCUUAACACAUGCAAGUCGAACGAGAAGUGGAGACGGAAACCUUCGGGCGGAAGACUUUAUUUCGAGUGGCGGACGGGUGAGUAACGCGUGGGUAACCUGCCUCAUACAGGGGGAUAACAGUUGGAAACGACUGUUAAUACCGCAUAAGACCACAGCACCGCAUGGUGCGGGGGUAAAAACUCCGGUGGUAUGAGAUGGACCCGCGUUCGAUUAGCCAGUUGGCGGGGUAACGGCCCACCAAAGCGACGAUCGAUAGCCGAUCUGAGAGGAUGACCGGCCACAUUGGGACUGAGACACGGCCCAAACUCCUACGGGAGGCAGCAGUGGGGAAUAUUGCACAAUGGGGGAAACCCUGAUGCAGCGACGCCGCGUGAGUGUAGAAGUAUUUCGGUAUGUAAAGCUCUAUCAGCAGGGAAGAAAAUGACGGUACCUGAGGAAGAAGCCCCGGCUAACUACGUG
rnacentral:rRNA from 1 species